AUCCGGAUUUACUGGGCGUAAAGAGCGUUGAGCCGGCUUCGUAAGUUGGACGUGAAAGCUCCCGGCUUAACUGGGAGAGNCCGUUCAAUACUGCGGGGCUUGAGGACAGCAGAGGGGGCUGGAAUUUCCGGUGUAGUGGUGAAAUGCGUAGAUAUCGGAAGGAACACCAGUGGCGAAGGCGGCCCCCUGGGCUGCUCCUGACGCUGAAGGCGAAAGCUAGGGUAGCGAACGGGAUUAGAAACCCCGGUAGUCCUAGCCGUAAACGAUGGAUACUAGGUGUAGGAGGUUAAAAUUCCUUCUGUGCCGGAGCUAACGCGUUAAGUAUCCCGCCUGGGGAGUACGGUCGCAAGGCUAAAACUCAAAGGAAUUGACGGGGGCCCGCACAAGCAGCGGAGCGUGUGGUUUAAUUCGAUGCAACGCGAAGAACCUUACCAGGGCUUGACAUGUAGGUAGUAGUGAAGCGAAAGCGGAACGAUCCUUCGGGAAGCCUACACAGGUGCUGCAUGGCUGUCGUCAGCUCGUGCCGUGAGGUGUUAGGUUAAGUCCUGUAACGAGCGCAACCCCUGCCGUUAGUUACAAGUGUCUAACGGGACUGCCCGGCAAAACUGGGAGGAAGGUGGGGAUGACGUCAAGUCAGCAUGGCCUUUAUGUCCUGGGCUACACACACGCUACAAUGGCCGGUACAAUGGGUUGCCAAGCCGCGAGGCGGAGCCAAUCCUCUAAAGCCGGUCUCAGUUCGGAUUGUAGGCUGCAACCCGCCUGCAUGAAGUUGGAGUUGCUAGUAACCGCAGGUCAGCCACACUGCGGUGAUACGUUCCCGGGCCUUGACACACCGCCCGUCACGUCAUGGAAGCUGGUAACACACUGAAGCCAGGUGAGCUAACCGCAAGNGAAGCAACCGUCGAAGGUGGGACUGGUGACUGGGACGAAGUCG
rnacentral:rRNA from 1 species